ACUUGGUGAUGUGGGCAUUUUCAGAGCAAGUCCGUAAGGUGCUCCCAAGUCUCGAAAAAGAGUUCCCCAUCCAUCUGUAAGAAACUGGUGAUGGCUCUCCGAAGCU